rnacentral:rRNA from 1 species
AGGAUAAACGCUGGCGGCGUGCCUAACACAUGCAAGUCGAACGCCCUACGCAAGUAGGGAGUGGCGGACGGGUGAGGAACACGUGGGUUAUCUGCCUUUCGGUGAGGAAUACCAGCGAGAAAUCGCUGACAAUACCGCAUACGGUUCUUUCGAGAGGAAGAACGAAAGUCGUAAGACGCCGGGAGAUGAGCCUGCGCCCGAUUAGUUUGUUGGUGGGGUAAAAGCCUACCAAGACUGCAAUCGGUAGCUGGUCUGAGGGGACGAUCAGCCACACUGGGAUUGAGAACGGCCCAGACUCCCUACGGGGGGCAGCAGUGAGGAAUUUCGUCAAUGGGGGCAACCCUGAACGAGCAACGCCGCGUGCAGGAGAAGGUUUUCGGAUCGUAAACUGCUUUUCUCGGGGAAGAGAACGGACGGUACCCGAGGAAUCAGCCCCGGCUAACUACGUGCCAGCAGCCGC